GAGAUACUCCCUCCGUUCUAAAUUACUUGUCGCAGAAAUGGAUGUAUCUAGAACUAAAAUACAUCUAGAUACAUCCAUACCUGCGACAGGUAAUUCAAAACGGAGGGAGUAGAUG
rfam:Triticum urartu cultivar G1812 contig396846, whole genome shotgun sequence.